rnacentral:rRNA from 1 species
GACGAACGCUGUCGGCGUGCUUAACACAUGUAAGUCUAACGUUGAAAGUAGAGCUUGCUCUUCUGGAUCAGUGGCGAACGGGUGCGUAACACGUGAGUAACCUUCCCCAGCCUCUGGAAUAAUCGCUGGAAACGGCGUCUAAUACCGGUUACGAGACAGCGCUGCAUUGCUACUGUCUGGAAAGUUUUUCGGUCUGGGAUGGACUCGCGGCCUAUCAGAUUGUUGGUGAGGUAACGGCUCACCAAGGCAACGGCGGGUAGCCGGCCUGAGAGGGCGACCGGCCACACGGGGACUGAGACACGGCACAGACACCAACGGGGGGUAGAAGUGGGGAAUAUUGCACAAGGGGCGAAAGCCUGAUGCAGCGACGCCGCGUGAGGGAUGACGGCCUUCGGGUUGUAAACCUCUUUCAGCAGGGAAGAAGCGAAAGUGACGGUACCUGCAGAAGAAGCACCGGCUAACUACGUG